AAUGAUCAGAGGCCAUGAUUGCACACCUUGACAUACCGGUGGCUUCCGGUAGUCUGUCCGAGGUUGAGCCACGAUAAGAUAUGAUCCUUCUAAAAAGUAGGGUCAAACAUGUUUGUAGAAAGCUUCAGUAUAUUUUCGAAAGUGAUAAACAAGAAGAGGAAGCUUAAUCAUAAUUUAAUUGGAGGAAAGAUGAAAAAGGAAGGACUGACUACGCCAACGCUUCACGUAUCAACAUGUCGUAAUGGGACCGAAAUUGUGUGGAAAUAAUUCUUCGUAUAGUUAAAAGUGAAAGAUACCAUCGAUCCGUAAUGUGAAGGAUGACUAAUACUCAUCAAAGCACGUCGGCAUCGAAGAUUUACGAUAUCGAAGGCAUGUCGAAUCUAAUGUUGCGACAUGAGAAAUCAAUGAAAUCACGAGAAAAAGCGGCAACUGUUUGUGCACUUCCCUUGGUAAAUAUAAAACGUUUACCAGAGUAUUAUCUGACAAUCAUCGGCGGCCAAUAGGAAAGCGUGUCAGAAGCAGCCUACUUACCAGCUUCCCUACCUAUACAAUUGAAUUGUGUUUUGAAUUCUCGGUAUUUUCCGCGAUAAGACAUGAUAAGAAAACGUUCGAA